rnacentral:lncRNA from 10 species
AAACCCCGUCUCCACCAAAAAAGUACGAAAACCAGUCAGGCGUGGUGGCGCGCGCCUGCAAUCGCAGGCCCUCGGCAGGCUGAGGCAGGAGAAUCAGGCAGGGAGGUUGCAGUGAACCGAGAUGGCAGCAGUACAGUCCAGUUUCGGCUCGGCAUCAGAGGGAGACAGUGGAAAGAGAGGGAGAGGGAGACCGAGAGGGAGAGGGGAGAGGGGAGAGGGGAGAGGGGAGAGGGGAGAGGGAGAGGGAGAGGCAGAGGCAGAGGCAGGGGCAGGGGCAGGGUAGCAAAUCUUUUUUCUAGAUAGGACUCCCCAGCUUCUCUGUGCUUUUAAGUCUCUGAAGUUGUUUUCACAUUAUCAACAUAACAAACUCAUUGGCAGUGGGGAGUGGUUUAGAGUCUGGUUUCUUUGUUUCUAUUAUUUAAAGCAUAAGCAUUUUAUUAGUCUCAAUUCCAUUGUGAACUGCUGAAUUUUCAUCCCUAGUGUGAGAAGGUCACAAUAGUAUUUGUUUCAAUAGAUAACUCUUUCUCCCUGUGCUGUUUCUCACUGAGCUGUGGUGUUUAUGCCUUAAGUACCUGUGUUAUAUGCUACAUGUUGCUUUGAAUUCUGGUAUUUAUGCAUAUCUGUAUAUGUAAGUAUGUUAAUGUACACUGAUAUUUUGCUGUAUUUGCCAGUAUGUUUAUGUGAAAAUUUUGGUCUUGGAAAAUGGUGGGUGAUGUGUAGCUUGUUAUUUGGGUGUGUGUAUUUAUUUGUAUAUAUUUAUGUAUUUACCUUCGUAUUGUUUGGAGGUGUGCUUAUGUCAGUGAACGAGAGUACAAUUUGAUGCAUGUAUGUUCAGUCCCUAUUUGUAUUUAAAAAUAACUCACGUUGAUGAAGUUAUUUUUUAAAGUUAAUUUUUUUGGCAUUUACAGUCGGUGCUCUGUAUCCAUAGGUUCUGCUUCUGCAGAUUCAGCCAACCAUAUAUCAAAAAUAUUUGAGAAAAAAUAAUAUAAAAAAAUACAAAUUAAAAACCAAUACUAUAUAACAACUAUUUGGAUAGCAUUUACAUUGUAGGUAUUAUAAAUAAUUUAGAGGUGAUUUAAAGUAUUUGGGAGAAUCUGUAGGUUAUAUGCAAAUACCAUGCCAUUUUAUAAAAGUGACAUGAACAUCCAAGGAUUUUGGUAUCCAUGAGGGUUCCUGGAACCAAUCCCCCAAAGAUACCAAAGGAAGACUGUAUUUUAAAAUAAAGCUACUUCUUUACCUUUUUGUCAACUAUUGCCUUGGGUUUACUUAUUUAGGAAUGCACUUCUGCAGAAAGUUUACCAAUGUGUUAUUGAUCUCGAGAUUGUAUUAAAAUAAAAGAUUUAUUUAUUGUUUUCCUUUAUUUAGUGAGUAUUUCUGACUAUUAUUAUGGGAAUUAAAUUGUUUAUGCAUUUAUUUAUUUAAAAUGUAGAGCCAUGAUAGAAAUUUGAAGGACAUUCUCAGUAACUUUAUGUCCUGUUAGAGGAAAGAUUUGAAAGCAUACUGGCUGGAGAGGCAGAAGAUCUGGGUUCUGGUUUCUACUUAGUUUGAACUUUCUUGGACUUAGUCUCUGUAUCUGUAAAAUGAAGGACUGAAUUAAGUUAUCCUUACAGCCUUUUCUAACUCUUAAAUUUUAGGAUUGAUUCUUAAUGGUUUAAGAUGUGUUAACAAUGGAAUUACCCUAAAUGUCAAAUCCCAUUGUUUUUUAGGUAAUAAAAAUUAUACUGAAAUCAUUUGAAGAUAUAUUUAGUCAUUGUAGAAAGGCAAUUAAAUACCCCUGCUUUACAUAAUUGAAAAGCAAGUAGUGUUUCCUUCACUAGGAAUAUAGAGUAUAAAAUCUCUUAAAAAUUAUUCUUAAUGUGCACCAAAAUUAUUUAUUACUGUUUUUUUGAGAUGGAGUCUUGCUGUGUUGCCCAGGCUGGAGUGCAGUGGCAGCAUCUUGGCUCACUGCAACCUCUGCCUCCUGGGUUCAAGUGGUUCUCCUGUCUUGGCCUCCCAAGUAGCUGGGAUUACAGGUGCAUGCCACCACACCUGGCUAAUUUUUGUAUCUUUAGUAGAGAUGGGGUUUUACCAC